GCCCAGCUGGGGAAAGAACUGGAGUGAGAGCUACAUAGGAAACUCAGUGUAGGCAAGAAAAAGGCCUGGGGGAGACCCUUAGUAACAAGGGAAGUGACCGGGAGACCUGGGGGGAUCUAAGAAGAGUGUUUGGAAGCAGCCCAGGGAAAACCACAAGCAGAGAUAAAGGAGCAGACCUAGCCCAGAACCAAGAGUCAGGAGCGGGGCUGGGUUCCCCUACUGGCCCAAAGGCAGAGGGGGAGCAAGUCCACAGAAAGGAUUAUUGAGGCCCCCCAAAGGGGCUGUAGGCUGAGCUGUGGAAGAGCCCCAGAGAAGGUGGAAGGACUCUCCUCUGUUAAAGAUGCUUUGGGAUUUCUAGUUUGGGCCAAGUGGGACCCUGAAGAUGGUGACCUAGCUGGAGGGCUGGUUUGCCAGGCAGAGAAAUCACCAAGGCAACCAUCAGCUCAGGGUGCUAGCCCAGCAAGAGAGCUGCGACGCCGUGCCUGGCCAUGAGGGGGCACCCUGUGUUUUCCAGCAAUGCCUACUGGCAAUGGAAAAAUGAAUUAGCUUGAGCUAAUUUGUUUUUCCUUCAUAUACAAGUGCAUUAACUCUUGGGAAACAACAUGCCAAAGCGGGGCUCCGAGGCUGCAGUGCAGAUGUGUGCAGCUAAAUCAAGCUCUAAAAAGACUUGGAGAGCUUGGUCAUAUCUUGCACUGAUGGCUGCAACCUUCGGGGUAGGUGGAGAGUAGAUCGGCCAGAGCACUGACAACGUGUGAGCGGCCAUGAGAAGAUCCAUUCAGAACCAUGGUCCUGGGCUGUGGAGGUCAGAUCUGGACUUUCCCAAAACUGGGGAGUGGUUCAUAGCCAGAGACUCUGCUCAUGCCCAUCUCUGCUGUAGUUGUGGAUGCCACAAUUCUCCAACUAUAGCAUCAUUGUUUCCUUAGUACCCAACGCACUUUGAAUGGGAAAAAGCACAAGAAGACUUUUUUUUUUUUUCUUUUAAAAAAAGAUAAAAGCCCCUGGCCUGUGCACAUUGCUAAAAUGUUUAAUUGUGUGGUUAACUGGCUGCAGCGCACGGUACAUUUACUUUAGUACAAAAAAUGUGGCUUAAAUUCCUGAGAGUAGAACAGGAGUUAGCCCAAUGACAAAUGGUGUGAAUACGUUAGCAGGGCAGAGGAGAUUCAAUAGGCUAUAUGCUCGGCAGUGAGUGAUCUCUGCAGUUCUUAAAAGUCAUUCAUUCCCCUCCCCCCCCUCCCCCGCUAACUUCGGAGAUAAUUAAAAUACCCUUCUGUCUUCA